rnacentral:rRNA from 1 species
UACGUAGGUGGCAAGCGUUGUCCGGAUUUAUUGGGUUUAAAGGGUGCGUAGGCGGUCUUAUAAGUCAGUGGUGAAAUACGGCAGCUCAACUGUCGAGGUGCCAUUGAUACUGUAGGACUUGAGUACAGACGAGGUAGGCGGAAUUGACGGUGUAGCGGUGAAAUGCAUAGAUAUCGUCAAGAACACCGAUAGCGAAGGCAGCUUACUAGGGCUGUAACUGACGCUGAGGCACGAAAGUGUGGGGAUCAAACAGG